AGCAAAAGAGGUGAAAAUCAAGGAAUUUUCAAGUAAUUUCUUAAGAAAAGCUUCUGAGAGAAAGGGAGUUGAGGAGAGGGUGGUUGAUAGAGGAAAAAGGCUAGGGGAGCCUUCUAGCUCAGGAAAAGGCAAGGAAAAAGAACUAGGAGAGGAGAGGAUCAUU